AUUGGACGCUGGCGGCAGGCCUAACACAUGCAAGUCGAGCGGAUGAAGGGAGCUUGCUCCUGGAUUCAGCGGCGGACGGGUGAGUAAUGCCUAGGAAUCUGCCUGGUAGUGGGGGAUAACGUCCGGUAACGGGCGCUAAUACCGCAUACGUCCUGAGGGAGAAAGUGGGGGAUCUUCGGACCUCACGCUAUCAGAUGAGCCUAGGUCGGAUUAGCUAGUUGGUGGGGUAAAGGCCUACCAAGGCGACGAUCCGUAACUGGUCUGAGAGGAUGAUCAGUCACACUGGAACUGAGACACGGUCCAGACUCCUACGGGAGGCAGCAGUGGGGAAUAUUGGACAAUGGGCGAAAGCCUGAUCCAGCCAUGCCGCGUGUGUGAAGAAGGUCUUCGGAUUGUAAAGCACUUUAAGUUGGGAGGAAGGGCAGUAAGUUAAUACCUUGCUGUUUUGACGUUACCAACAGAAUAAGCACCGGCUAACUUCGUG
rnacentral:rRNA from 1 species